UACGAAGGGGGCUAGCGUUGCUCGGAAUCACUGGGCGUAAAGCGCACGUAGGCGGAUCUUUAAGUCAGGGGUGAAAUCCUGGAGCUCAACUCCAGAACUGCCUUUGAUACUGGGGAUCUCGAGUCCGGGAGAGGUGAGUGGAACUCCGAGUGUAGAGGUGAAAUUCGUAGAUAUUCGGAAGAACACCAGUGGCGAAGGCGGCUCACUGGCCCGGAACUGACGCUGAGGUGCGAAAGCGUGGGGAGCAAACAGG
rnacentral:rRNA from 1 species